ACGCCAUCAGCACUGCCACUCUGCCCCUGCCCCAUCCCCUACCCUGUUGUGCUGGCCCAUGUGGGCUUUGGUGCCAGCUCUGCUCAGCCAUGGACCCUCGACUUCUCUGAACCUCAGUCUCCUCUUGCAGCAAACGGGCUCAUCACAGCCAGGCCUGGCAUUGAGCCAUGGUUGCUAGGACUGUCCACCUAGAGGGCCCAGCCAGGCCUUUUGGGUCAUGCCUCUGCCCCUCAAGGCUGAUGGAGAUGGCGUUUUCAGGGAGGAUGGAUGGGGUAACGUGAGGAAACUGAGGCUCGGGAGUACAGAGCCUGCCCCACCUGCUGCAUGACCUUGGGUCAACCCUGCCCCUCUCUGAGGCCUUUAGCAGGUAGAGAAUGGGCCAGAGCAGCUCCGAGUGCCCUGCAGCUCUGCUCUUGGAUUGCUCCAAGCCUCAUUCCCUCCACAUUCCUGACUCCUGUGUGGCUAUGGGCCAAGCAGUCUUUCCUUGAGCCUCUGACAUCCGAUUCUGUGUCAUGGGGUUAUCAGCCCUGCCUUCUUGGUCCUGGGCUGGGAGUGGAGGCUCCAUCCUGGCCUGGAUGGGGUGGCAAAGAGGUAGGUGCCCCCAUCCCUCACCCCUGCCUCUGCCACCAGUGUCGGGACUCUUCUGCCUGGUGUGGGCCUGGGCCUGGGGGGAACUGAUGGAGAGGCUAGAGGGGGCGUCCUGCAGGGAGAGGCCUCAAGGAAGGCAAGGCCAGCACCCACCCUCAAAGGGCCUCUGUCUCACCCAGGAGACUCCAUCCUCCCAGCAAGGUCAGCCAAUAACUGUGGGGAUGGAGUGGAGCCGUGAGUGGGGGCAGAGGCCUAGACUCCCACCCCACAGGGCGGUCCCGGGCAAGGGCUCUCCAUCUGCAAAGUGCAGCUCUGGCCCCUGCUCUAGGCUGCUAUGGCUCUGGGAAGCCCUCCUCCUGCCCCUUCUGGGCCGCUUUCUCUGGGGUCCCCCUUGCCAUGUGCUAUGUGCCCAGGCCGUUUCUCAGGGCUGCCCGCUGUGCCCUACUGUGACCUCAGCCACUAGAACAAACCCGAGAGACCUGGAGGGAGCUCACCAGACAGGUCAGGGCUGAUGAUGUUCAAGCGCAUGAAGACAGUCCUAUGGACUUCCUGGAGGAGAAAGAGAGAGCAGUAUGUGGCACCUUUGGGAGGCGGCUUCCAGGUUUACUCCCUGGCUCCGUGACCCCAGCCCACCCUAGAGCCUUGGCUUUGAAUCCCAUCUCCACCGCUUCGUAGCUGGAUGCCUCUGGGUCUCCUGUUCUUUGAGAUUACACUGGUGACCAUACUACAUGGAUGUGCGGGUGGUUAGAUUCCUGGGUGGGAGGGUGGAUGGAUGGAUGGACGGACGGGCUGGUCUUGAGACCCGGUCUUGGGACGCAGGGCUACCGUGCAGCUGAGGGUGCCGGUUUUGGGUAUGGGUACUGUGUAGAAGUGGAGGAGGAAGCUGAAGCGCGGGUCACCCUCGGGGCUUGGGGACAGCAGGCUCACACAGUUGCCCUUGGCCGCCCGGCCCUGGAUGAGUUCCACGGUGCCUCCCUCAGGCCCCAAGUCCAGGUGGCAGCUGUCUAACUGGAGCAGGAACUCGGAGACGGAUGGGGACACUCUGACCUGCAUGGGUAGGCUGUCUCCCUCCUGACUCUGGGAGUCUCAUCUCCUCUGGAGUCAUGGUGGGAAGAAAGGCGGAGAGGAAGUUCCAGGAGCUGGGAGGCCCGAGGGGUGACAGGCAUGCCAGGCAGAGGCAGGCAGAUCACAGGAGGCCAGAAGUUCGAGACCUGCCUAGCCAACAUAGUGAAACCCGACUCUACUAAAAUUAUAAAAAUUAGCCAGGUGUGGUGGCAGACACCCAUAGUCCCAGCUACUGGGAAGGCUGAGGCACAAGAAUCGCUUGAACCUGAGAGGAGGAGGCUGCAGUGAGCCGAGAUCACAUCAUUGCACUCCAGCCUUGGUGACAGAGCGAGACCUCGUCUCUAAAACAAGAAAAAGAAGGCCAGUUGCAGUGGCUCACGCCUGUAAUCCCCGCACUUUGGGAGGCUGAGGCUGGAGACAGCGAAGAGGUUGAGGUGUUCUCGUAAAUCAGUGGUGAAAAUUCAAAUCAUCUUUGGGAAAGUGGGUUGGCAACAUGUAUUGAAACUUCAUUCAUUUUGACCCAGUAAUUCCACUAAUGUGGAAAUCUAUCCUGAGAAAAUAAUCCUAUAUAAAGAAAUGUUUCAUGCACAAUGA
rnacentral:lncRNA from 1 species